rnacentral:rRNA from 1 species
AGACCCGAAACCCGGUGAUCUAGCCAUGGGCAGGUUGAAGGUUGGGUAACACUAACUGGAGGACCGAACCGACUAAUGUUGAAAAAUUAGCGGAUGACCUGUGGCUGGGGGUGAAAGGCCAAUCAAACCGGGAGAUAGCUGGUUCUCCCCGAAAGCUAUUUAGGUAGCGCCUCGUGAAUUCAUCUCCGGGGGUAGAGCACUGUUUCGGCUAGGGGGCCAUCCCGGCUUACCAACCCGAUGCAAACUGCGAAUACCGGAGAAUGUUAUCACGGGAGACACACGGCGGGUGCUAACGUCCGUCGUGAAGAGGGAAACAACCCAGACCGCCAGCUAAGGUCCCAAAGUCAUGGUUAAGUGGGAAACGAUGUGGGAAGGCCCAGACAGCCAGGAUGUUGGCUUAGAAGCAGCCAUCAUUUAAAGAAAGCGUAAUAGCUCACUGGUCGAGUCGGCCUGCGCGGAAGAUGUAACGGGGCUAAACCAUGCACCGAAGCUGCGGCAGCGACACUCAGGUGUUGUUGGGUAGGGGAGCGUUCUGUAAGCCUGCGAAGGUGGCCUGUGAGGGUUGCUGGAGGUAUCAGAAGUGCGAAUGCUGACAUAAGUAACGAUAAAGCGGGUGAAAAGCCCGCUCGCCGGAAGACCAAGGGUUCCUGUCCAACGUUAAUCGGGGCAGGGUGAGUCGACCCCUAAGGCGAGGCCGAAAGGCGUAGUCGAUGGGAAACGGGUUAAUAUUCCCGUACUUGGUGUUACUGCGAAGGGGGGACGGAGAAGGCUAUGUUGGCCGGGCGACGGUUGUCCCGGUUUAAGCGUGUAGGUGUGUGUUCCAGGUAAAUCCGGUUCACUUUAACACUGAGGCGUGACGACGAGGCACUACGGUGCUGAAGCAACAAAUGCCCUGCUUCCAGGAAAAGCCUCUAAGCAUCAGGUAACAUCAAAUCGUACCCCAAACCGACACAGGUGGUCAGGUAGAGAAUACCAAGGCGCUUGAGAGAACUCGGGUGAAGGAACUAGGCAAAAUGGUGCCGUAACUUCGGGAGAAGGCACGCUGACACGUAGGUGAAGUGAUUUACUCACGGAGCUGAAGUCAGUCGAAGAUACCAGCUGGCUGCAACUGUUUAUUAAAAACACAGCACUGUGCAAACACGAAAGUGGACGUAUACGGUGUGACGCCUGCCCGGUGCCGGAAGGUUAAUUGAUGGGGUCAGCGCAAGCGAAGCUCCUGAUCGAAGCCCCGGUAAACGGCGGCCGUAACUAUAACGGUCCUAAGGUAGCGAAAUUCCUUGUCGGGUAAGUUCCGACCUGCACGAAUGGCGUAAUGAUGGCCAGGCUGUCUCCACCCGAGACUCAGUGAAAUUGAACUCGCUGUGAAGAUGCAGUGUACCCGCGGCAAGACGGAAAGACCCCGUGAACCUUUACUAUAGCUUGACACUGAACAUUGAGCCUUGAUGUGUAGGAUAGGUGGGAGGCUUUGAAGUGUGGACGCCAGUCUGCAUGGAGCCGACCUUGAAAUACCACCCUUUAAUGUUUGAUGUUCUAACGUGGACCCGUGAUCCGGGUUGCGGACAGUGUCUGGUGGGUAGUUUGACUGGGGCGGUCUCCUCCUAAAGAGUAACGGAGGAGCACGAAGGUUGGCUAAUCCUGGUCGGACAUCAGGAGGUUAGUGCAAUGGCAUAAGCCAGCUUGACUGCGAGCGUGACGGCGCGAGCAGGUGCGAAAGCAGGUCAUAGUGAUCCGGUGGUUCUGAAUGGAAGGGCCAUCGCUCAACGGAUAAAAGGUACUCCGGGGAUAACAGGCUGAUACCGCCCAAGAGUUCAUAUCGACGGCGGUGUUUGGCACCUCGAUGUCGGCUCAUCACAUCCUGGGGCUGAAGUAGGUCCCAAGGGUAUGGCUGUUCGCCAUUUAAAGUGGUACGCGAGCUGGGUUUAGAACGUCGUGAGACAGUUCGGUCCCUAUCUGCCGUGGGCGCUGGAGAACUGAGGGGGGCUGCUCCUAGUACGAGAGGACCGGAGUGGACGCAUCACUGGUGUUCGGGUUGUCAUGCCAAUGGCACUGCCCGGUAGCUAAAUGCGGAAGAGAUAAGUGCUGAAAGCAUCUAAGCACGAAACUUGCCCCGAGAUGAGUUCUCCCUGAGACUUUAGGUCUCCUGAAGGAACGUUGAAGACGACGACGUUGAUAGGCCGGGUGUGUAAGCGCAGCGAUGCGUUGAGCUAACCGGUACUAAUGAACCGUGAGGCUUAACCUUACA